rnacentral:rRNA from 1 species
AGCGAACGCUGGCGGCAGGCCUAACACAUGCAAGUCGAACGAACCUUUCGGGGUCAGUGGCGAACGUGAGAGUCACACGACGGAACGUGAACUCAGGUGCGGAAUAACUUAGGGAAACGUGUGCCAAUACGGAACGUGUCCUUAGGGGGCAAGACAUAUCGACUUUAGAGCGGCCAGCGUCUGAUAAGCUAGUUGAUCGAGGUAAUGGCUUACCAAGGUGACGAGCAGUAGCUGGUCUGAGAGGAUGGUCAGCCACAUUGGGACUGAGACACGGCCCGAACUCCUGGGAAUGGCAGCAAGGGGGAAUCUUGCGCAAUGGGCGAAAGCCUGACGCAGCCAGGCCGCGUGAAUGAUGAAGGUGUUAGGAUUGUAAAAUUCUUUCACCGGGGACGAUAAUGACGGUACCCGGAGAAGAAGCCCCGGCUAACUUCGUG